rnacentral:rRNA from 1 species
AUUGAACGCUGGCGGCAGGCCUAACACAUGCAAGUCGAGCGGAUGAAGGGAGCUUGCUCCUGGAUUCAGCGGCGGACGGGUGAGUAAUGCCUAGGAAUCUGCCUGGUAGUGGGGGAUAACGUCCGGAAACGGGCGCUAAUACCGCAUACGUCCUGAGGGAGAAAGUGGGGGAUCUUCGGACCUCACGCUAUCAGAUGAGCCUAGGUCGGAUUAGCUAGUUGGUGGGGUAAAGGCCUACCAAGGCGACGAUCCGUAUCCGGUCUGAGAGGAUGAUCAGUCACACUGGAACUGAGACACGGUCCAGACUCCUACGGGAGGCAGCAGUGGGGAAUAUUGGACAAUGGGCGAAAGCCUGAUCCAGCCAUGCCGCGUGUGUGAAGAAGGUCUUCGGAUUGUAAAGCACUUUAAGUUGGGAGGAAGGGCAGUAAGUUAAUACCUUGCUGUUUUGACGUUACCAACAGAAUAAGCACCGGCUAACUUCGUG